rnacentral:rRNA from 1 species
UAAGGAAUAUUGGUCAAUGGACGAAAGUCUGAACCAGCCAUGCCGCGUGGAGGAUGAAGGUCCUCUGGAUUGUAAACUUCUUUUAUAUGGGACGAAAAAAGGCUUUUCUAAGUCGUCUGACGGUACCAUAUGAAUAAGCACCGGCUAACUCCGUGCCAGCAGCCGCGGUAAUACGGAGGGUGCAAGCGUUAUCCGGAUUCACUGGGUUUAAAGGGUGCGUAGGUGGGUUGGUAAGUCAGUGGUGAAAUCCCCAAGCUUAACUUGGGAACUGCCAUUGAUACUAUCAGUCUUGAAUACCGUGGAGGUCAGCGGAAUAUGUCAUGUAGCGGUGAAAUGCUUAGAUAUGACAUAGAACACCAAUUGCGAAGGCAGCUGGCUACACGAAUAUUGACACUGAGGCACGAAAGCGUGGGGAUCAAACAGGAUUAGAUACCCUGGUAGUCCACGCCCUAAACUAUGGAUACUCGACAUUUGC